UCUAUCAGGGUCAGGGUUUCCCCUUUUCGCCUGAAGCUAAGAAGGGAAACCACAGACAGAAGGUGGGGCGCCCACUGCCUCCCACCCAUGAUGAUGGGGUGAACGAUGGUGGUGGGCGAUCACUCCUCAGUCCUUGUUCUUUGAUGGGUGGGAGAGCCAUGGGCGGAGGCCGGUCAGAUGGUGGCGCCUCCUGAUUUUGUCCCUGGUUGCAGAAGGAGCAUUGAUUUCGUGGCUACUGGCGGUGUUCCUUGCACCACCACCAGCCGGCAAUGGGAACGGCGAUGUCUGCUGCACUUCUCCUUGCGCACCCAAAGUGACGGGAAGACCUGAUGCCGACGACACUCCCUUCGUCGGGCAGGACAUCAUCAUCUGCUGACCGGUGGGCAAGGUCGAAUCCAUGGCUAUCGUUCCUGCCUAAUAAUGGGAAGAAGAUACACCUCCUCCAGGUGAGUGCAGGGGAACUCUGGCGGGAAGCCUUGACAUCUGAUAUGGUUCGCCGACCAGCAAUGGAGCUCCAGCAGGAAUCCCAUCAAAUGUGGUUUGCCUAGAGUCACAAUUCAAGAUUCCUCCUAAAAUCCACUGUUCGCCUCCUUCAGCUUCCGAUGAGAAGAUGGUGUGACUAUCGUUUACAACAAGAAGCGUGUGAAAACUUUGUGCGUUCUACAAAAUCGAACAGAACAUCCAUCUGAACUCGUCAAACUUUUGAGUGAUGGAAUCGAUCUUCCUAGUUGUAGCAACAAGAUCCUGUCUGAUGUGAGCGAUUACACAAUCGUGUUUUGCUAGGGGCUGUUGGGAUUCCAAGGCUGAAGUCUCAUGAUCUGCAUUAAAGUGCAAAGGCGGAACCUGAGGCGAGGAACUGGAACAAGGAGAGUGAUGGAUCUGGUCUUACUCUGCAUCAAGGCCUCUUCAAAUUGAAGCUCAAAUUUCUUGAAUUUUCCUUUAUGUCCAACUUGGAGGCUGAAGGCCUUUGGGCUUGCAUUUUUGUCAUGUAGAGGGAUUCCAUGGUCUUGCUAAUUUCGGCUCAAGCUCACAAAUGUUGGGCGGAUGGACUUGCAAACUGGGAGGAUGAUUGGUGGAGGCCAUUAACAAGGGAAUGUCUAUUUUUUGUCCGAGCCCGUGGGUGCAGCUGCUACCUCAAUCCCUUCCAAACCUACCAAGCUUCAGUGGCAUCUCAGACUUGGGCAUCCAUCGGUGUCAAAACUUUGUUGAUUGUUUCCUUAACUUUCUAUGUGCGAAGCCUGUCAAUUUGGGAACCACAUUAGUAGUUUUCCAUUGAGUCUAUUACUUCAUGUCAAUGUGUGAGGGCCUAGACAUACAGCUAGAAGGUCUAAAUUUUGGUAUUAUCCUGUCAUAGUUGAUGAUUUCUCUUAUGUUAGUUGGGUUCUCCUGUUGAAGGAAUGCUCUGCAAUUAUAUGUAUCCUUCAAAAUCUUAUUAUUGAAAUAAGGACUCAAUCUGGAGUUUUUUUUAA